rnacentral:pre_miRNA from 1 species
AUGUAUGGCAACCUGACUGUAAGUAGGGCAAAUUACUCUUGAAAACAUUCCUCCAUAGAUUCCUCUUCAAGUCAAGAGUCUUGU